CGCUGGCGGCGUGCUUAACACAUGCAAGUCGAACGAGAGGAGAAGGAAGCUUGCUUCUUUCAAAUCUAGUGGCAAACGGGUGAGUAACGCGUAAGCAACCUGCCCUUCAGAUGGGGACAACAGCUGGAAACGGCUGCUAAUACCGAAUACGUUCUUUUUGUCGCAUGGCAGAGGGAAGAAAGGGAGGCUCUUCGGAGCUUUCGCUGAAGGAGGGGCUUGCGUCUGAUUAGCUAGUUGGAGGGGUAACGGCCCACCAAGGCGACGAUCAGUAGCCGGUCUGAGAGGAUGGACGGCCACAUUGGAACUGAGACACGGUCCAGACUCCUACGGGAGGCAGCAGUGGGGAAUCUUCCGCAAUGGGCGAAAGCCUGACGGAGCAACGCCGCGUGAGUGAAGAAGGUCUUCGGAUCGUAAAGCUCUGUUGUCGGGGACGAAUGUUGAGAUCUAGAAUAUAGAUUUCAAAUGACGGUACCUGACGAGGAAGCCACGGCUAACUACGUG
rnacentral:rRNA from 1 species